rnacentral:rRNA from 1 species
GGGUUGUGAGGUUAAGCGACUAAGCGUACACGGUGGAUGCCCUGGCAGUCAGAGGCGAUGAAGGGCGUGCUAAUCUGCGAUAAGCGCCGGUAAGGUGAUAUGAACCGUUAUAACCGGCGAUACCCGAAUGGGGAAACCCAGUGUGACUCGUCACACUAUCAUUAACUGAAUCCAUAGGUUAAUGAGGCGAACCGGGGGAACUGAAACAUCUAAGUACUCCGAGGAAAAGAAAUCAACCGAGAUUCCCCCAGUAGCGGCGAGCGAACGGGGAGGAGCCCAGAGCCUGAAUCAGCAUGUGUGUUAGUGGAAGCGUCUGGAAAGGCGCGCGAUACAGGGUGACAGCCCCGUACACAAAAGCGCAUGUGCUGUGAGCUCGAUGAGUAGGGCGGGACACGUGGUAUCCUGUCUGAAUAUGGGGGGACCAUCCUCCAAGGCUAAAUACUCCUGACUGACCGAUAGUGAACCAGUACCGUGAGGGAAAGGCGAAAAGAACCCCGGCGAGGGGAGUGAAAAAGAACCUGAAACCGUGUACGUACAAGCAGUGGGAGCACAGGUUUACCUGUGUGACUGCGUACCUUUUGUAUAAUGGGUCAGCGACUUAUAUUCUGUAGCAAGGUUAACCGUAUAGGGGAGCCGUAGGGAAACCGAGUCUUAAU